rnacentral:rRNA from 1 species
GAAUCCCCGGGGGGCAGCAGUGGGGGAUACUGGACAAUGGGGGGAACCCUGAUCCAGCGACGCCGCGUGAGUGAAGAAGUAUUUCGGUAUGUAAAGCUCUGUCAGCAGGGAAGAAAGCAAUGACGGUACCUGACCAAGAAGCCCCGGCUAACUACGUGCCAGCAGCCGCGGUAAUACGUAGGGGGCAAGCGUUAUCCGGAAUUACUGGGUGUAAAGGGAGCGUAGACGGCUGUGCAAGUCUGGAGUGAAAGGCGGGGGCCCAACCCCCGGCCUGCUCUGGACACUGUAUGUC